rnacentral:rRNA from 1 species
GACGAACGCUGGCGGCGUGCUUAACACAUGCCAGUCGAACGGAAAGGCCUCUUUCGGGGGGUACUCGAGUGGCGAACGGGUGAGUAACACGUGAGUAACCUGCCCUUGACUUUGGGAUAACUUCAGGAAACUGGGGCUAAUACCGGAUAGGAGCUCCUGCUGCAUGGUGGGGGUUGGAAAGUUUCGGCGGUUGGGGAUGGACUCGCGGCUUAUCAGCUUGUUGGUGGGGUAGUGGCUUACCAAGGCUUUAACGGGUAGCCGGCCUGAGAGGGUGACCGGCCACAUUGGGACUGAGAUACGGCCCAGACUCCUACGGGAGGCAGCAGUGGGGAAUAUUGCACAAUGGGUGGAAGCCUGAUGCAGCAACGCCGUGUGCGGGAUGACGGCCUUCGGGUUGUAAACCGCUUUCGCUCAUGACGAAGCUUUGUGUGACGGUAGUGGGUAAAGAAGCACCGGCUAACUACGUG